GACGAACUGUGCAAACGUUAUUCGGAAUCACUGGGCUUAAAGGGUGCGUAGGCGGUCUUUUAAGUAGGGUGUGAAAGCCUCUGGCUCAACCAGAGAACUGCGCCCUAAACUAGAAGGCUUGAGUGAGGUAGGGGUGUGUGGAACUUCCAGUGGAGCGGUGAAAUGUGAUGAUAUUGGAAGGAACGCCGGUGGCGAAAGCGACACACUGGACCUUGUCUGACGCUGAGGCACGAAAGCCAGGGGAGCAAACGGG
rnacentral:rRNA from 1 species